rnacentral:rRNA from 1 species
UACGUAGGGGGCUAGCGUUGUCCGGAUUUAUUGGGCGUAAAGGGCGCGUAGGCGGCCAUGCGUGUCUUCCGUGAAAUCCCUCGGCUUAACUGAGGACGUGCGGAAGAAACUGCAAGGCUUGAGUCCGGGAGAGGGGGGUGGAAUUCCACGUGUAGCGGUGAAAUGCGUAGAGAUGUGGAGGAACACCAGUGGCGAAGGCGACUCUUUGGCCUGUAACUGACGCUGAGGCGCGAAAGCGUGGGGAGCAAACAGG